rnacentral:sRNA from 1 species
ACACAAGGAAGGAGGUGGUCCGCGAAUUGAUAGCUUCAUGGACAUGUGAGGUGGCUGCGCGCUAGCAGCAGUGACUCGGAAGACCCGGCCAAUUGCGCUGGCGAAUUCCCCGCAGUCACCCGGCCCCCGAGCUUCCGGUCUGUCCAACCUGGAGCUUUGCUCGGGGGCCGUCCCAU